GAUGAACGCUGGCGGCGUGCCUAAUACAUGCAAGUCGAGCGAACAGACGAGGAGCUUGCUCCUCUGACGUUAGCGGCGGACGGGUGAGUAACACGUGGAUAACCUACCUAUAAGACUGGGAUAACUUCGGGAAACCGGAGCUAAUACCGGAUAAUAUAUUUAACCGCAUGGUUCAAUAGUGAAAGACGGUUUUGCUGUCACUUAUAGAUGGAUCCGCGCCGCAUUAGCUAGUUGGUAAGGUAACGGCUUACCAAGGCAACGAUUCGUAGCCGACCUGAGAGGGUGAUCGGCCACACUGGAACUGAGACACGGUCCAGACUCCUACGGGAGGCAGCAGUAGGGAAUCUUCCGCAAUGGGCGAAAGCCUGACGGAGCAACGCCGCGUGAGUGAUGAAGGUCUUCGGAUCGUAAAACUCUGUUAUUAGGGAAGAACAAAUGUGUAAGUAACUAUGCACGUCUUGACGGUACCUAAUCAGAAAGCCACGGCUAACUACGUG
rnacentral:rRNA from 1 species